rfam:Brachypodium distachyon strain Bd21 chromosome 4, whole genome shotgun sequence.
UGAGUACUCCCUUCGUUCCAUAAUUCUUGUCUCAAAUUUGUCCAAAAAUGGAUGUAUCUAUUUCUAAAAAACAUCUAAAUACAUGUAAUAUUUUGACAAAAAUUAUGAAACGGAGGGAGUAGUAU